rnacentral:rRNA from 1 species
GGCCUAUGAAAGUAGGCCUCCUUCGAGGGUGUCACACAGGUGCUGCAUGGCUGUCGUCAGUUCGUGCCGUGAGGUGUUUGGUUAAGUCCAGCAACGAACGCAACCCUUGUGUCCAGUUGCCAGCGCGUAAUGGCGGGAACUCUGGACAGACUGCCCGUUCACACGGGAGGAAGGUGGGGAUGACGUCAAGUCAGUAUGGCCCUUACAUCUGGGGCUGCACACGUGCUACAAUGGCAGGUACAGAAGGAAGCAAUACCGCAAGGUGGAGGCAAUCCCCAAAACCUGCCCCAGUUCAGAUUGGGGUCUGCAACCCGACCCCAUGAAGUCGGAUUUGCUAGUAACGGCGCAUCAGCUACGGCGCCGUGAAUACGUUCCCGGGCUUUGUACACACCUCCCGUCACAUCAUGAAAGCGGUCUGCACCCGAAGCCAGCGCACCGACCCGCAAGGGGGGGAGCUGUGGAAGGUGUGGGUGGUGAUUGGGAUGAAGUCGUAACAAGGUAACCGUA